rnacentral:rRNA from 1 species
UACGUAGGAUGCAAGCGUUUGUUCGGAUUUAUUGGGCGUAAAGCGAGCGUAGGUGGCUAGUUAAGUCUGGUGUUAAAGCUAGGGGCUCAACCCCUGUGUUGCACUGGAAACUGGCUGGCUUGAGGAUGGUAGGGGAAGGUGGAAUUCCGAGUGUAGCGGUGAAAUGCGUAGAUAUUCGGAGGAACACCGGUGGCGAAAGCGACCUUCUGGGCCAUUUCUGACACUGGAGGCUCGAAAGCUUGGGGAGCAAACGGG